GGGGUUGUAGCUCAGUGGUAAAGUGCUUGCCUAGCAUGCGUGAGGCCCUGGGUUCAAUCCUCAGCACCA
rnacentral:tRNA from 1 species